UUAAAAUGUAAAAAGCACCGUUUAUGUUGUAAAUUUUGUUUUUGUUUCACUUUCAAUAUUUAUCCGGUCCUAGUCUUUCUUCCAGUAGACCGUGAUAUAAAUGUAGUUUUGAUGGAUGGAAACCAUUAUGAAAACGACUUGAUUAUGACCGCACGAAAUUUGAGAAUUUAAGCGAGCAAUGUUUUUAAAAUAUUUGUUACUUCACUUCAAAUUUUGAAUAUCGGAGCAAAAUUUUCUGCCUAUGUUAAAGAUAUACAGAUAUAUAGAGUUGUAGUGAAGGUGAAUGGCAUCGAAAAGAAAGCGAGAAGUCCCAAAGAAGGUUGGCAGAGUCAAAGGAAUUAAACUGCACAUUUUGCCCUAUUACGGUAUUAAAUACAUCCAUGUCGAUUGAUGAGCAAGAAAAUAAAUUAAACGAUUCUACAGCAGAUUUUCUACUCCAAGUACAGAACAGGCGUGAAAGAAUAUUAAAAUGCAUUUAAAAAGCCAAAGCACAGACUGCAAAUGCUUAUAAGAGUCCAAGCAUUGAAGUUGUUAAGGACAAGUCUUUCAUUACCUAAGCACAACCAGUGGUGUCUAAACUAGAUCCCAUCCUUCAAGAUCAUUGGCAUAUCCAGAAUGUACGCCAAAUGAAAUUUAAAGAAUUUCUAAACAACGCAGGAAAUGUUGAUUGAGCCAUUACUGCGCAGGUGCCUACGUGACAGCGUACAUAACAGAGCUUCAGGAUCAGGAUCAGUGACUGACAACAUGUCUGUUAAGUCAAGAGUGGCGGACGCUGAAGGAGGGAGAAAGUCACUAUCUUACAAUGCCAUUAUCAAAUCUCUCUUGUAAAAUCAAUAGCUCAGAUUUUGAAAUAUGAGUCAACAAAACUUCUACUACAAUCUGUGUCGUUAUUUCGCUAUGAAACUUUACAAAAACUUCGCUCGUGAAUUGUUCGUGUUAACAGUAUGAGAGCUCCAAAACCUGGGGAGAGAGUGAUACCUAAGACUGGAUCACCGCUGACCAAUGAUGUUGCGCCCUUGGACAAUAAUGCUCCGAAGGGCAUCAUACUAUUAACAUGAGGUAAGGUUACGUGCCCAACAACCCUCUAAGAAAGGAACAUUUUCAGUGAAGAACAAACAAUAAUGUCUCGGACUGGUUAUCGAAGCACAUCAUUGUUAGAUGAUGCAAAAGGCCAAGUUCUACUCUGGUUAUGUCAGUUUUUAAAAGCACUUGAACAACCUGCUCCAGUGGAUGCUUCAAGUCCAAAGAAAAUUGACGUAGAUAAGAAGAAAGAAGUAUGUGUUAGUACGACAAAUACACGACGUACUUUAAAAGUUAUUGAACAUGGGAAAACACGUAUGUUGUUUCAUUUUAUAUAAUAUACAUGUGUUUGCUUUUAAUUUUGUGAGCAAUUAUUAGUUUUUCCAAUUUUUUCGUAAGACUUAUUUUAGUUUUAUCAUGAAUAUAUUUACAUCAUCGAGAUGCGUUAGAAACGCGUUAAAUUUCAUCACCUUGUUAGUUAUUCAGAGAUGAAAUGUAAUGUGGAGUUACGACAGUCAUUAGUAUCCUUUAACCUCAUUAAUAUUUUCUAUUUAGAGGAUACUAAUAAGAAAGUGAACAAUAAAAAACAAUAUCUUGUUAGUAUUCUCUAUAUAGGGAAUACAAAUUAGAUUUACUGAAUAACAUUGAGCUUUAAUUUAAGAAUUAAACGAAACUUACCUUAA